rnacentral:tRNA from 1 species
UUGUCCGCGCGAGUUCGAACCUCGCAUCCUUCAGUAAUAUUUUUUUAAUAUACAUUUUCUCUGCCAUCAUGGCUUAAAAAAUGC